rnacentral:RNase_P_RNA from 1 species
GAAGGCGGGCAACAUGGCCGCCGGUUUGGGUUUCGGCCCGGCCGGAGGAAAGUCCGAACACCGCAGGGCGCGAUGCCUGGUAACGCCAGGGCCCGCAAGGGACGGAAAGUGCAACAGAAAGCAAACCGCCGACGGGCGGCCACGCCGCAAGGCGCGGUCUGCCACGGGCAAGGGUGAAACGGUGCGGUAAGAGCGCACCAGCAGCCGGGUAACCGGCUGGCUCGGUAAACCCCAUCGGGUGCAAGACCGAAUAGGGUCCGAUGCGGAGCUGAUCGCGGGUUUUGGCCCGCGGCACCAGUCCGCGGCGAGGCGGCCCGCCUCGCACAGGCGCCUCGUGCGCCGACAAAGGACCGGGUAGGUUGCUAUGAGCCCCCCCGCAAGGAAGGGGCCGAGAGGAAUGGCCAUGCACGGGCCCGGUUCGCCGGGUUCGUGAACAGAAUUCGGCUUAUGCCGCCUUCCAGC